rnacentral:tRNA from 1 species
GCCGAAGUGGCGAAAUUGGUAGACGCGCACGAUUCAGGGUCGUGUGGGCUCACGCUCGUGGGAGUUCGAGUCUCCCCUUCGGCACCA